rnacentral:snRNA from 1 species
GUGCUUCCUUAAGCAGCACAGACAGUAAAACUGGAAAGAUAAAGAGGAAAUUAGCAUGACCCCUAGACAAUGCUGAAAUGCAAAUUUGUAAAGAAUCCCACUUAAAA